rnacentral:rRNA from 1 species
GGGAUUCCCCUAGUAACGGCGAGUGAAGCGGGAACAGCUCAAAUUUGAAAUCUGGCCUUCGGGUCCGAGUUGUAAUUUGCAGAGGAUGCUUUUGGUGCGGUGCUUUCCGAGUUCCCUGGAACGGGACGCCUUAGAGGGUGAGAGCCCCGUACGGUUGGCCACCAAGCCUGUGUAAAGCUCCUUCGACGAGUCGAGUAGUUUGGGAAUGCUGCUCAAAAUGGGAGGUAUAUUUCUUCUAAAGCUAAAUACUGGCCAGAGACCGAUAGCGCACAAGUAGAGUGAUCGAAAGAUGAAAAGCACUUUGAAAAGAGGGUUAAAUAGCACGUGAAAUUGUUGAAAGGGAAGGGUUUAUGACCAGACCUUUUCUAGGGGGAUCAUCCGGUGUUCUCACCGGUGCACUUCCCCUAGUUGAGGCCAGCAUCGGUUUCUGUAGGGGGAUAAAAGCUUCGGGAAUGUGGCUCCUUCGGGAGUGUUAUAGCCCGUUGCAUAAUACCCUUACGGGGACCGAGGUCCGCGCUUCGGCUAGGAUGCUGGCGUAAUGGUUAUUAACCACCCGUCUUGAAACACGGACCAAGGAGUCGAACAUUUGUGCGAGUGUUUGGGUGUUAAACCCUCACGCGUAAUGAAAGUGAACGGAGGUGAGAGCCCUUCGGGGUGCAUCAUCGACCGAUCCUGAUGUCUUCGGAUGGAUUUGAGUAAGAGCAUAACUGUUCGGACCCGAAAGAUGGUGAACUAUGCGUGGAUAGGGUGAAGCCAGAGGAAACUCUGGUGGAGGCUCGCAGCGGUUCUGACGUGCAAAUCGAUCGUCAAAUCUGCGCA